GAUGAACGCUAGCGGGAGGCCUAACACAUGCAAGCCGAGCGGUAGAGAUUCUUCGGAAUCUUGAGAGCGGCGUACGGGUGCGGAACACGUGUGCAACCUACCUUUAUCUGGAGGAUAGCCUUUCGAAAGGAAGAUUAAUACUCCAUAAUAUAUUUGAUGGCAUCAUUAAAUAUUGAAAGCUCCGGCGGAUAGAGAUGGGCACGCGCAAGAUUAGCUAGUUGGUGAGGUAACGGCUCACCAAGGCAAUGAUCUUUAGGGGGCCUGAGAGGGUGAUCCCCACACUGGUACUGAGACACGGACCAGACUCCUACGGGAGCAGCAGCGAGGAAUAUUGGUCAAUGGGUGCAAGCCUGAACCAGCCAUCCCGCGUGAAGGACGACUGCCCUAUGGGUUGUAAACUUCUUUUGUAUAGGGAUAAACCUACUCUCGUGAGAGUAGCUGAAGGUACUAUACGAAUAAGCACCGGCUAACUCCGUGCCAGCAG
rnacentral:rRNA from 1 species